rnacentral:snRNA from 2 species
AUACUUACCUGGACGGGGUCUAUGGCUGAUCAAGAAGAGCCAUGGCCUAGGCUAGUGGCCCACAUUGAAUUCCAAAAUUUUGGUACUUCUCAUUUGCAAUUUGUUCUUUGUUAU